CCCCAAGACCCAAGUAAAACAAAAAGCAAUACACAAUGAAAUAAGAAAAGGAAAAGAAAAAGUUAAUUAAUCCGACAGAGUCCAAAAAGGAAAGUGUCUGAAGCAUCAGCGGCAUCACUCCUGAACUCCGGUCACCUUCAAGACGAUGGAGACAAACUUGAGGUCGAAUGCAAGUACCAAGCUAAGUAACUGUUUUUCGACUUUUUAGUUGUAAAUUUUUCCGUUGUCUAUAAAACGAUGGGUUGAAUCUCAAAUGAGAUUCACACCACCAUCAGAGAUGUAGACAAAAGGACACUAUCACCAAUCUGCAAACAGUUUUGAUGCCUCAAAAUCACGACGGAGAAUUUAGAACUCAAAUCAAUCGCUUUUGGAGUAUUUGUGUAGAACGUAUAUAAUAAGGUCAAGUACAACACUAAAACUUAUUCGAAAUUUUCAAUAUCCAUAUCUAUUCUUCAAUGGGUUGCUGUCACUGUUAUACCCCAUUUUAACACGGGUCAAAUCGAGGUACAACAUAUUGAAAAAUCUCUGAUUAAAUUUAAGGAAGUCGUCACCUAAUUAGUUCUACGGGAAAUUAGGACACCUAUUAUAACCUAUGUGAUUAGGGAAAUUAAAGACUUCAUUUUAAGGUAUACGCAACCUAAAAUUCUAGGUAAGGAUUCUAAUUGUCCUAAAGGGAAGGGAUUAUGCACCCUAAAGGAUCCGCUAACUACGAUUAACCGGACAAACUUAGAUUAGAUAAUAAAAAUCAAACGCUAUGUUAAGAAAGGUAUAAAUAAAGUAUUAAAACAAAAACUUAAUAAUUAUGUACACGAGAAAAAAUUGUAAGGAAAAAAGAAACUUUAAAAGGCCAUCAUCAUAAAUUAAAAAUUCACCCAUUUUCCGAAAUUAUCAAAGAUAACUCUUAUGGAUCCUCUAAAAAUAAUGCAACCCUACUGUUGUCAAAAAUAUAAUUAUUUUAAAUCAUUUCUUUACAAAAGCCUUAAUCAAAAAGGGUUAAUUGUAUUAAAACUUCACGUUUUCUUUAUUCUAAAAAUGCCUCUUUUACCUCUUUUCUUUUUUUAAUCAAUUUUAUAAAAAAUAGUUUAAUUAUCUUACGCUAGAUGAAUAGCUAAAAAAUAUAGUUAUUUGAAUCUAAAAUGCUUUAGAAAUUUACUUAUCUUUUUAUUACGAAAGGACUCAUGAAAAGAUACAUAUUCUUCGUUAUUCGAAAACCUAUAAAAAACCUUGCAAAAUUAAAUUGGCAAAGUUGCGAUUUUUAUUUAAGAUUGAUGACAACGGAGUAGAUUUACCAUAUCUAAAAUAAGUAAGGCCAAUUUUCGAGUCUAGCAAUGAUACGCCCAUCUACCGCAAAAUUUAUAUUUUACUAGUCUGAAAUUACUCAUUAGUGAAAACUAACUCGGUUCCAAAGAUAUGCACUAUUUCAUAUUAAGGAAGUAAUAAAAGAUUCUAACAAACUCGGUCAUCAAUAUGUUUCAACCUACCAAAUUUUAAUCUUAACGAUAUAUUGAUUAAGCGCCUAAGCCUAACAAUUAUACUAAAUUUAACAUCUAAUGGGUAAAAGAGACCAAUUAACUUCGCUAACACAUUUAAGAAAUCGCACUAAUUCAAAUACUAAAAAAUAUAAAAACACAUAUUUCAAACAGUAACGUGCAAAAUGUCAAAUGAUAGUAAUAACAAGUAUCUACAAAGAAAGAGAUAAACUAGCAAAAAGGGAAGAGGCACUAGACUGCUAGAUGAAACACGUAAUAGUCUAUUGUCGCUUCUCUGAUUUGGAUAGAAUUGGAGUCAAAUCAUAAAGCUCCAAAUGCGCUCACGAGUGCACAAGUGUACAUGUGAAAUAAGAGAGAAGGAUAAAGAUUAGAAUAUAAAUCUGAAUUCAAUAGACAGCAUAUGCCUACUAAGAAAACAUUAGUCCCACUACUUCAUCAAAGAAAAAAAAUUAAAGCAUUAAUAUUGACUUAACUUAACCAAAGAUACGUCAGUAAUUUAUUCUUCAUGGAAAUCACAACAUAAAAAAAUGCUACUUAAAUAUAAAUUUCCCCCACACUCAUUUUAUAGGACGAAAUCGAACAACAUCCCUACUAAUUCUCUAAUCUAAUCAUCAACCUCCGUAUCUUGUAUCUAGGAUCAUGUCAUUGCGAACGACUUGACACAGUACUCCAACAAAUGAAACCGAAAUUCACUCCCAUUAUCCCAUUAUCACACACAUCUGAGAAAACUAAAAUCCAAACUUGACACGAGUUUGUAGAAAUAGGAUAAAAUCAAAACCCACAAGAAGUAUUCUAUUCAUCUAUUCACAGUGAGCAAAAGAUAUAAAGGGGCUUAAAUAUUCAAUCAACAAAGUCAACACAAAAAUGGGUCACUAUUAAAAAAAACAGAGAAAAGGCUCAAAGAUACCUCUGAAUUAUUCAAAAUAGCUUUAAAAUGCUCUUCGUUAAAUUUUUAGCUCAAAAAAAAACCUCUCCGUUAAAUAUUUGGCUUAAAAAUACCCCUUCCUCUAACGGAAUUCGAAAAAAGAUCAAAAAUACCCCUGAACUAUCUGAAAUAGGUCAAAAAUAUCCCUCUGUUAAAUAUUUGACUCAAAAAUACCCCUCCCUU
rnacentral:lncRNA from 1 species